rnacentral:lncRNA from 1 species
GGAAAUGAAGAUUUCAUUGAAUUCCCGUGCUUUCUCUGAAAAAAAAAAAUACUAAGUAUUAAAUUAUUUCUAUCCAUUCUUCGAAUAUGCUCUCCCCGAACUGGAAAAAUAAAUAAAUAAAUAAAUAAAAUCCGCGGGAGCUCCAUUCUAGCUGAAAUUUCUGCCAUUCCUAAAGUUGGGUACACGUUUAUACAAAAGCCAACGACAUCUCAAUUUUGUACUUCUACAUUUAUUUAGUAAAGAAGGUUUUAGAUGGGUAAUGUAACUCAAAUCCACGAUCCUGAAUUGCAGUUAUAAUACGGAAGGGCAUUUUUAGCCGUAGGAUUCGAUCCAACGGUCACUUUACAUUUUGAUUAAGUAAUUGAUCCAACCCAAUUCUCAAUAUCGAAUCCAAUCGUCGUAUGGGUAUUGCAGCCGCCGGAGCCCCGUCCUAACGCACUCCCCCAUUUGCAACGACAAAAACCCAUCAAGGAGCAAAAUCCCAUUUGAAAAUAAAUUGACAUUUAUUCUGAUACAAUAACUUUUAAGAUAAAAUUAAAAAUUAAAUACAACAUGAAAACUUCAAAAUCAAGUUGAUUGAUUAAAUUGACACUGUUAACUACAUUUUAUCCCACAUACUGAAAUAUAAAGAGUACAUUUCAUUCCAUUCCAUUAGUAAGAAUAAGAGCAAGACUAUUGGUAAAGAGUACAUUUCAUUCCAAUAGUGAGAAUAAGAGCAGCAAGAUUAUUCUAACACGUUAAUUUUCUCUUUACAUCUUUUUUAAUUAAAAACUUUAUUACCUCAAUAAAUUUUAGAAACAAUUACUUAAUUAACCAUUUCUUCUUAUUUUAUUUUCAAUUUUACAAAUGCUCAUCAAUUCAUUCAUAUAUAUAUAUUUUAUCUAUAAAUAUUUGAUAUUAUUAACUAAAAGCAACAAAAUCAACAAUUAAAAAUAAACAUUAAUAAAUUUUUAUCAACUAUAAAAAUUACAAAAUAUCAAAAAACUAAUUUUUACUAAAUACAAAAGCUAAUAGAAAUCAAGAAAAAUAAAAUAUAUAGAAAACAUGAGAGAGAAAUCAUUAUAUAUUAAAAAAACUAAAAAAUGAAUUCAAAAUAGAAUGAAAUUGAGUGUUGGUCUAUAGAAUGUGAGUGAAAUUUGAUUUUUAAAUUAUAAAUUUUUAAGAAUGAAUUUAUUUUUUAAAAUAGGUAUAAAGAAAAAUUUGACGAGUUCAAAUAGUCUCACCCUGAAAAUAAAGAUUAACAAUUUUUUCUCACAACAAUUGGAUUAUCAAUUUGCACGCCUUUGUCGAUUUUUUGAACAUCUACUUCUACAACUUCUUUUGCUAGAGAGUAAGAUAAUUCACCAUCUACUUGCACAAGAAAUGGAUCAAAAUCAUCAUAUACAAAAAUAAUGAAUUAAUUGAAUUUAAUUAACAUUAAUUAAGAAGUCAAUAUAGGGAUCUAAAAUAAAUAAUUAAAUAGGAUGAAGAUUGAUCAGCAUGCAACUCACGUGAAUAAAGAAACUCGAUGGCUCUGGCGGCUGUGCAAAUCAAUUCUGAUUCCAGAAAUUUGGAAACUUUGACUUGAAUCAAGCUGUGCAAUAAAGAAACUCGAUGGCUCUGGCGGCUGUGCAAAUCAUUUCUGAUUCCUGAAAUUUGGAAACUUUGACUUGAAUCAAGCUGUGCAAUCACCGAACAAAGUUUUCUGCCUCUAAAAUCUGAUUACACAGCUUUAAUCAUUUUUCUUUUGGUAGUUUUAAAGUAGGGUCAACCGUAUGCAUGGUGUUAUCACAUGCAUCCGACGGUUUAUUUGUCUGCUCUACGUUGGAGAUGUUCCAACGUAGCUGCUGCCUUUUAACUAUUAUAGAAAGUUAAAAAC